rnacentral:rRNA from 1 species
AGGAUGAACGCUGGCGGCGUGCUUAACACAUGCGAGUCGAACGAUGAAGCAGAGCUUGCUCUGUGGAUUAGUGGCGAACGGGUGAGUAACACGUGAGUAACCUGCCCUUGACUCUGGAAUAAGCGUUGGAAACGACGUCUAAUACCGGAUACGAGCUUCCGCCGCAUGGUGAGGAGCUGGAAAAGUAAUUUCGGUCAAGGAUGGACUCGCGGCCUAUCAGGUAGUUGGUGAGGUAAUGGCUCACCAAGCCUACGACGGGUAGCCGGCCUGAGAGGGUGACCGGCCACACUGGAACUGAGACACGGUCCAGACUCCUACGGGAGCAGCAGUGGGAAUAUUGCACAAUGGGCGCAAGCCUGAUGCAGCAACGCCGCGUGAGGACGACGCCGUGGUACGUAACUCUUAGUAGGAAGAAGGCGUCGUCUGACGUACUGACAGAAAAGACACGACGUAACUACGUGCGAGCACGCGCGUA